rnacentral:misc_RNA from 1 species
GAUGAAGAACGUAGCGAACUGCGAUAAGUAAUGUGAAUUGCAGAAUUCAGUGAAUCAUCGAGUCUUUGAACGCACAUUGCGCCCCCUGGCAUUCCGGGGGGCAUGCCUGUCCGAGCGUCAUUGCUGCCCUUCAAGCCCGGCUUGUGUGUUGGGUCGUCGUCCCCCCCGGGGGACGGGCCCGAAAGGGAGCGGCGGCACCGCGUCCGGUCCUCGAGCGUAUGGGGCUUUGUCACCCGCUCGAUUAGGGCCGGCCGGGCGCCAGCCGGCGUCUCCAACCUUCUAUUUUACCAGGUUGACCUCGGAUCAGGUAGGGAUACCCGCUGAACUUAAGCAUAUCAAUAAGCGGAGGA